rnacentral:misc_RNA from 1 species
AAAGAAUUCAAUUAAAUUCUCACAUAAUCAUGCUUGAUUUUUAUUUCUUUUAAAAUGAAUUUUUUUUUAAAGUUAACAAUUGAAUUCUUCUCUCCAAACAUGAGAAUUAACCAAAAAGAAAUCAAUUGAAUUAAAUUCUUCUAAAAUUUUACAUUCCAUACAAGGGGUUACUGAAUAGUGAUUGUUUUAAAUUGUCAUAUUUGUUGCUUUUUUCUUUUUCUAUUUCCCCUGUCUUUUUUGCUUCAAUUUUGUUUUGGAUGGCCUGAAUGGAAAAGACAAUUGUCAAUUUUGCUUGUAGUAGUUAAUUGAAUCUUACUUUUUAUUAUAUUGUUAUUAUUUUAUUUCAAGGUACCUUGCAAUGACCUCUGU